rnacentral:lncRNA from 1 species
UGCCGCUCAGAGUGUAGACACUGACUGAUGGGACCAGGUACAAAAUCCCCUGGGACAAAACAGAACUUUCAUAACUGGCUGUAGAGUUAUUGUUUUUGCCUUUUGGAAGCUUCCACCUUGUGACGGGAAGAGCACUGUCAGCCCAACACAGAAACUCUGCCGCCUGGAGUCACGUGGAUCCAGAUGCGAAGGGACUCCAACGUCAUGCUAAGGAGUUUGGGCUAAGAAUUUGUACAGCCAUAUUACAGAUUUGGAAAAUGAUGUGAAGAGAAGCUAAGGGAUUUGCCACUGCCACUCAGCUGCCAAGGAUCAGAGACAUUACUUCUACUUCUCAACGUCCAUCCUCCAACCAUUGUCCAGUGAUUCAGGCAGAAUUCCCUCCUGCUCAGGAGGUAGCCAUCCUGUGACCCUGGAAGAAACCAGCCCAAGGAAGGUGCUAACCUACAGAAGAAGGACAUGGCCAGGGUAAUCACAUAGACCCGGAGUUGAAGCCCUGACUGCACCACACCCGAAGCCUCCCCACCUUUCAACCUCUCGGUGAUGGUGAACCAAUAAACUCUUUUUAUUGUUCAAGCCAGUGUGAGUUAGGUUCGCUAUAAUUUGCUGCAGAAAGUCUCCUGAGUGAUUCAGAUGCCUGUUGGUGCUCCUGGAAUUGCAUCCAGAUGCCCUACCUUAGUAUUAAAGUCUCACUCAACUCUAAGAUCAAUGAGUGGGGAGGGUGAGGGCUAGAUUUUCAUUGACCCUGGUGUUGCCAGCCCCUGCUGGACAUCAAUCUGGCACAAAGCAGACAAUGUUAAUUUUUUUUUCCUUGAAGGAGUAAACCCAGGUCUCUCUCCAGUGUCUUAUCAGCCUCCCAAAGGCGGGGAAUCCCACUGGGGUCCCUGAUCACCUUCCAGAGCCACCUCUCUGCAAUCAGCUGCAUUUUGCUAGAAUCGGCCUUGCUGUCCACCUUCCCCAUCAGCGUCCUCAUGGAGACCACCAUGAGGGAGGGGCCAGCGGGUCUGAACUUGAGGCUAUGUCUAGCAGUGUGUCUGAGCUCCAGGUACCCAGGAGGGGGCCAUGGCCGAGUGAUGCCCAGGGCACAGGAUGGUGCAAGCAAGAUGUAAACAAGAUGCAAACAAGAUGGUGCAAGGAGAUGCAAACAAGAUGUUUGCAAGGAGAUGUUUGCAACAAGAUGUUUGCAAAGAGAUGUUUGCAACAAGAUGUUUGCAAGGAGAUGCAAACGAGAUGGUGCAAGGAGAGCCUCCAAAACAGCCUGGAAUUCACACAAGUAAAUGGGAGGGGCCUCAGAGCCACUGUGAUUUGGGCAGCAAUAAGUAUGACCAGCAGGGUGACCAGUGGACCAUGAGAAACAUCCACAUGUGGGUCCAAAGAACAUUGCAUUCCUUUGUUUAUCUAACCCACAUCCUCCUUCGUGUCUUAGGGCCUUUGCACUGCCCUUUCCUUGGACUGAUUACCCAGUUACUCUACCUCAUGACCAACCUCUGUCUUAAUUCUCUGCAGAGUGCUUAUCAAUGGCUGAUUGCAUUUGUUUGCUUUUGUUUCUCUGUCCAUGACAGCAAGGACCUUGAUUGUCUUAUUUAUCACUACUUCUCUCAUAUCAAAAAUCCCUCCAUAGUCCUGGCUCA